AGCAGUAGGGAAUCUUCCACAAUGGGCGAAAGCCUGAUGGAGCAACGCCGCGUGUGUGAUGAAGGCUUUCGGGUCGUAAAGCACUGUUGUAUGGGAAGAACAGCUAGAAUAGGAAAUGAUUUUAGUUUGACGGUACCAUACCAGAAAGGGACGGCUAAAUACGUGCCAG
rnacentral:rRNA from 1 species